CAAGGAAUCUUCCGCAAUGGGGGCAACCCUGACGGAGCAACGCCGCGUGGGGGAUGAGGCCCUUCGGGGUGUAAACCCCUUUUCUUCGGGAUGAAGUUCUGACAGUACCGGAGGAAGAAGGACCGGCUAACUACGUGCCAGCAGCCGCGGUAAUACGUAGGGUCCGAGCGUUGUCCGGAGUUACUGGGCGUAAAGGGCGCGCAGGCGGCGGUGUUGGCCCGGCGUGAAAGCCCCCGGCUCAACCGGGGAGGGUCGUCGGGGACCGCACCGCUUGAGGGCGGUAGGGGCUGGUGGAAUGCCUGGUGUAGUGGUGAAAUGCGUAGAGAUCAGGCAGAACACCCGUGGCGAAGGCGGCCAGCUGGGCCGUCCCUGACGCUGAGGCGCGAAGGCGUGGGGAGCGAACGG
rnacentral:rRNA from 1 species